AUUGAACGCUGGCGGCAGGCCUAACACAUGCAAGUCGAGCGGAUGAAGGGAGCUUGCUCCUGGAUUCAGCGGCGGACGGGUGAGUAAUGCCUAGGAAUCUGCCUGGUAGUGGGGGAUAACGUCCGGAAACGGGCGCUAAUACCGCAUACGUCCUGAGGGAGAAAGUGGGGGAUCUUCGGACCUCACGCUAUCAGAUGAGCCUAGGUCGGAUUAGCUAGUUGGUUGGGUAAAGGCCUACCAAGGCGACGAUCCGUAACUGGUCUGAGAGGAUGAUCAGUCACACUGGAACUGAGACACGGUCCAGACUCCUACGGGAGGCAGCAGUGGGGAAUAUUGGACAAUGGGCGAAAGCCUGAUCCAGCCAUGCCGCGUGUGUGAAGAAGGUCUUCGGAUUGUAAAGCACUUUAAGUUGGGAGGAAGGGCAGUAAGUUAAUACCUUGCUGUUUUGACGGUACCAACAGAAUAAGCACCGGCUAACUUCGUG
rnacentral:rRNA from 1 species